rnacentral:rRNA from 1 species
GACGAACGCUGGCGGCGUGCUUAACACAUGCAAGUCGAACGAGGUCCAGCCAAUCUUCGGAGAGGCGAAGACCUAGUGGCGAACGGGUGCGUAACACGUGAGAAACCUGCCCCAGACUUGGGAAUAACAGUCGGAAACGACUGCUAAUACCGAAUACCUUCGUAGCGUCGCAUGGCGCAUCGAAGAAAGCUUUUGCGGUUUGGGAGGGUCUCGCGGCCUAUCAGCUAGUUGGUGAGGUAACGGCUCACCAAGGCAUCGACGGGUAGCUGGUCUGAGAGGAUGAUCAGCCACACUGGGACUGAGACACGGCCCAGACUCCUACGGGAGGCAGCAGUGGGGAAUCUUGCACAAUGGGCGAAAGCCUGAUGCAGCAACGCCGCGUGCGGGACGAAGGCCUUAGGGUUGUAAACCGCUUUCAGCAGGGAAGAAAAUGACGGUACCUGCAGAAGAAGGUGCGGCCAACUACGUGC